CCUUGAAUCUUAGAUCUAAGAAACUUUCCCGUCACUUUUUUGCCCAAAUUCUUGAAGCUCCAACCACUAUCACCCCACAAUACUUACAUCAAUGGAUAGAGCUCCUCAAGACCUAGCUAUUGAUGCCAAUUUCACCAUGAAAAUUCGGCGAUCAAAAUCCGGCCAAAUUCCGGCGACUUCCCCGAACACCCUCUUUUGGCAUACCACCAUUUUUUCGGCCACUUGAAUUAUAAAAUGGUAAUUUUCGGACCAUGUAAACUCAUAAAAUCGAGUUGGAAUGAAAGAUAAUGACGCUGGGAAAUAUUAGUAGCUUUAUCCUUCUAUUGUAAUUCAUUUUUAUAUGCUCUUGAAUGUUUGAUAAUGUUAUAACGAUAUGUUAGUUAAUUAAAUUGUGUUAAGCAUCUUUAAUUAUUUUUAUUUUUGCAAAGCAUUAGAUA